rnacentral:rRNA from 1 species
UACGGGGGGGGCAAGCGUUGUUCGGAAUUACUGGGCGUAAAGGGUGCGUAGGUGGUGAGGUAAGUCGGAUGUGAAAUCUCCGGGCUCAACCCGGAAAUGGCAUUGGAAACUACCUUGCUUGAGGAUUUGAGGGGGGAUUGGAAUACUUGGUGUAGCAGUGAAAUGCGUAGAUAUGUGGAGGAACACCGAUGGCGAAGGCAGCCCCCUGGGAUAACACUGACGCUCAUGCACGAAAGCGUGGGGAGCAAACAGG